UUCAAGGAGGGAGGAAGCUAAAUCUAUAAACUCAGAACUCAUUAAUUGGAGGAAGAAACUAGCAAUUCUGACAAACUCUCCCAGUGCUGCAGCAACGUGUUCUGAUGUUUCUAAUUAUCUAACUUAAAAGCUCCAAAGGCUCUGUGAUCAAAUGAAGCUUAAACAAGGAAGGCAAAAUUACAAGAGACAACAAAGAAGAGAAAUCUAGUGAGGCUUCUCCCAAGCCCCUCCAGGAAGUGAGGUUGUUUCACCAGUGGUGGGAUUCAGCCGGUUCUGUCUGGUUCAGGCGAACUGGUAGUGGCGACUGCGAAAGGCUCCGCUCACCCAACGUAAUGCGCGAGUAAAGAGCAUGCACGGAAGGCCAUGCACAUGCACAGAGGAAGAGCGUGCGAGCUCACAUUUGCGAACCGGUAGGGAAGGCACCAGUCUUCUCAUUUGUUUUCUUUUAACCUGAUCAGCUGUAGGGCGGCCCUUUGAAGCCCCGCGGCAAGAAUUUAAACGGAGAUCUUCACAGGAAAUAGAGAAGAAUGGCAAAACUUGGAAAUAUAUACAUAGAUAAGAGAUCCAUGUUCCUGCUGGCUACACAAAUUGCCCAAGUUGAUCUGCAUUUACAAAGAGGCAAUAGUCCAACAUUCUUUCCUUUAAGUUGUUUUCCUUGCAAUGCAGUAUGUUAUAGCCUUACUUUCUGUUGUAAACCUGGCUAAAGAGUGCCUUUGCUUUGACUAGA